AGCGAACGCUGGCGGCAGGCCUAACACAUGCAAGUCGAGCGGUCGUAGCAAUACGGCAGCGGCAGACGGGAGAGUAACACGUGGGAACGUGCCCUUCAGUUCGGAACAACCCAGGGAAACUUUGGCUAAUACCGGAUACGCCCUUACGGGGAAAGAUUUAUCGCUGAAGGAGCGGCCCGCGUCUGAUUAGCUUGUUGGUGAGGUAAUGGCUCACCAAGGCGACGAUCAGUAGCUGGUCUGAGAGGAUGAUCAGCCUCACUGGGACUGAGACACGGCCCAGACUCCUACGGGAGGCAGCAGUGGGGAAUAUUGGACAAUGGGCGCAAGCCUGAUCCAGCCAUGCCGCGUGGGUGAUGAAGGCCCUAGGGUUGUAAAGCCCUUUCGGCGGGGAAGAUAAUGACGGUACCCGCAGAAGAAGCCCCGGCUAACUUCGUGCCAGCCGCCGCAGUAAAAC
rnacentral:rRNA from 1 species